rnacentral:rRNA from 1 species
AACGAACGCUGGCGGCAGGCCUAACACAUGCAAGUCGAGCGAGGACUUCGGUCCUAGCGGCGGACGGGUGAGUAACGCGUGGGAACGUGCCCUUUGCUACGGAAUAGCCCCGGGAAACUGGGAGUAAUACCGUAUGUGCCCGAGAGGGGAAAGAUUUAUCGGCAAAGGAUCGGCCCGCGUUGGAUUAGGUAGUUGGUGGGGUAAUGGCCUACCAAGCCGACGAUCCAUAGCUGGUUUGAGAGGAUGAUCAGCCACACUGGGACUGAGACACGGCCCAGACUCCUACGGGAGGAAGCAGUGGGGAAUCUUAGACAAUGGGGGAAACCCUGAUCUAGCCAUGCCGCGUGAGCGAUGAAGGCCUUAGGGUUGUAAAGCUCUUUCAGUGGGGAAGAUAAUGACGGUACCCACAGAAGAAGCCCCGGCUAACUCCGUGCCAGCAGCCGCCGUAAAAC